GAUGAAGAACGUAGCGAAAUGCGAUAAGUAAUGUGAAUUCCAGAAUUCAGUGAAUCAUCGAAUCUUUGAACGCACAUUGCGCCUGCCAGUAUUCUGGCGGGCAUGCCUGUUCGAGCGUCAUUUCAACCCUCAAGCCCAGCUUGGUGUUGGGGAUCGGCACAGGCGCCCUCGGGCGCCCGCCGUCCCCUAAAUCUAGUGGCGGUCCCGCUGCAGCCUCCUCUGCGUAGUAGUUUUCUCCUCGCAAGGGCAGCUCGGUGGCGACCUCGCCGUAAAACCCCCAACUUCUGAAAGGUUGACCUCGAAUCAGGUAGGAAUACCCGCUGAACUUAAGCAUAUCAAUAAGCGGAGGA
rnacentral:misc_RNA from 1 species